rnacentral:rRNA from 1 species
UGACGGGACCCGCACAAGCGGUGGAUGAUGUGGUUUAAUUCGAUGCAACGCGAAAAACCUUACCCACCUUUGACAUGUACGGAACCCUUUAGAGAUAGAGGGGUGCUCGAAAGAGAGCCGUAACACAGGUGCUGCAUGGCUGUCGUCAGCUCGUGUCGUGAGAUGUUGGGUUAAGUCCCGCAACGAGCGCAACCCUUGUCAUUAGUUGCUACAUUCAGUUGGGCACUCUAAUGAGACUGCCGGUGACAAGCCGGAGGAAGGUGGGGAUGACGUCAAGUCCUCAUGGCCCUUAUAGGUGGGGCUACACACGUCAUACAAUGGCUGGUACAAAGGGUUGCCAACCCGCGAGGGGGAGCCAAUCCCAUAAAGCCAGUCGUAGUCCGGAUCGUAGUCUGCAACUCGACUACGUGAAGUCGGAAUCGCUAGUAAUCGUGGAUCAGAAUGUCACGGUGAAUACGUUCCCGGGUCUU